rnacentral:rRNA from 1 species
GACGAACCGUGCGAACGUUAUUCGGAAUCACUGGGCUUAAAGCGCGUGUAGGCGGGGUGGCACGUUCGGCGCUGAAAUCCCCCGGCUCAACCGGGGAACGGGCGCGGAUACGACCGCCCUCGAGGGACGUAGGGGGACCUGGAACUUCCGGUGGAGCGGUGAAAUGCGUUGAGAUCGGAAGGAACGCCCGUGGCGAAAGCGAGGUCCUGGACGUCCGCUGACGCUGAGACGCGAAAGCCAGGGGAGCGAACGGG